rnacentral:sRNA from 1 species
AGCGCCACCUGAAAAAAAGAUUGUGGGCUCAAGUCCCACAAUUCUAGCAUGCAGUAAAUAGAACACGUUUUUAGACCGUUACAAUACAUAGAAGCAGCUCACAGUAGAGAAGUCAAUGAGCGUGAAGCAAGUCUACACUAGACAUUUACAUAUCAUUGCCACAAAGAAUAUUGCCUUGAAUAAAAAGAUACAAAAUAAUGUCAACAAAACUUGCUGCAGCGACAAACGAUUCAGUGAAACCUAAGUUU